rnacentral:lncRNA from 1 species
GGAAGUGUGCGCGAGCCCGCCCCCAGGGGCCCAGCCCUUCCGUUGAUAUGGGUGGUCUGUGGGUUUUUUUUCGUGUGUUCCUGAGCCCACUGGAAGGAGGUGUUUGUUUUGAUGGGCUUGGGGGACAAGGUUUCACUGUGUUGCCCUGGCUAUUCUGGAACUCUCUUUGUAGACCAUGUUGGCUUCAAAUCAGAAAUGUCCAUGCCCCAGAGAACCUAUCUCCAGUUCUCAAGCAGCCAGAACCAUCAACAUUCUUUGUUUGGAAUUUGUCCUAUGGCUGUCUAAACUGAUGUUUGCCAGUUUGCUUCAUGUUAGUGGCAUGGGUCAGGAUUUCCUACUUUGUUCAUUGGGGUCACUGGACCCUUAGGCCACUGUGAUGCCAAAUUUAAUUUGAAAGAUGCAAACUUAUUUGUAAUUCUAAUUCUAGUUUAGGCAGCCUUCGUCCCACCAUAAGAUAGCUGAGCAGAUGGAAAGGAAGAUACGUCCUUUCCCCUCUGAGCAAGAUGGCUGGGGGAUGUUACCAAGUUGACACCACUUUCACGUGAAGUUAUCAGCAGACAAGCUACAAUUAAUAUUGUUACAACUGGUCAUGGAGCUCAUGGGAAGUCCACCGUGGUGAAGGUUAUUUCUGGAGUUCACACUGUCAGAUUCAAAAAUGAGCUAGAAAGAAACAUUACCAUCAAGCUUGGACAUGCUCAUGCUAAGACUUAUAAACUUUGAUGACUCAAGUUGUCCUAGACCAGAUCAUGUGGAAGCAGUACACCAGAUAAGUUUCCUACAUACAUUCUGGGGGCCAAAGGGAACUUCAAAUUAGUCAGACAUGUUUCCUUUGUUGACUGUCCUGGCCAUGAUAUUUUGAUGGCUACGAUGCUGAACAGUGCAGUAGAGAUGGAUGCAGCUCUUCUGUUGAUAGCUAGUAAUGAAUCAUGCCCUUGGCCCGAACACCUGACUGCUGUAGAAAUCACGAAACUCAAGCAUAUUUUGAUCUUACAGAAUAAAAUUGAUCUGGUAAAAGAAAGUCAGGCUAAGGAACAAUAUGAGCAAAAUCUCGCAUUUGUGCAAGGAACGAUAGCAGAAAGGGGCACCAAUUAUUCCAAUUUCUGCUCAACUGAAGUAUAAUAUUGAAGUUGUCUGUGAGUAUAUAGUGAAGAAAAUACCAGUGGCCCCAAGAGACUUUACUUCAGAGCCCCAUCUCAUUGUUAUCAGUCCAUCUGAUGUCAACAAACCUGGCUGUGAAGUCGAUGACCUUAAGGGAGGUAUAGCUGGUGGUAGUAUUCUAAAAGGAGUGUUAAAGGUAUGCCAGGAGAUAGAAGUCAGACCCCGUAUUGUCUCCAAAGAUAGGGAAGGAAAACUCAUGUGUAAACCAACCUUUUCCAAUAUUGUGUCACUUUUUUGGGGGAAACAUAAUGAUCUUCAGUAUGCUGCCCCAGGUGGUCUCACUGGAGUUGGAACAAAGAUCGGCCCCACUGUGUGCUGAGCUGGUAGAAUGGUGGGACAAGUGCUUGGUGCAGUUGGAGCGUUACCUGAAAUAUUCACAGAACUGGAAAUCUCCUAUUUCCUGCUUAAACGUCUUCUGGGUGUACGUACUGAAGGAGACAAGAAAGCAGCCAAGGUCCAAAAGCUGUCUAAGAAUGAAGUGCUUAUGGUCAACAUAGGAUCCCUGUUGACAGGAGGAAGAGUUAGUGCUGUUAAGGCUGAUUUGGGCAAAAUUGUUUUGACCAGUCCUGUGUGUACAGAAGAAAGGAGAAAAAAUUGCCCUUAACAGAAGAGUUGAGAAACACUGGCGUUUAAUUGGUUGGGGUCAGAUAAGAAGAGGAGUGACCAUUAAGCCAACUGUAGAUGAUGACUGAAGACUCCAAGUUAAACAAUGCCUUGGGAAAGAGUUGGAAUUUCUUUUAAUAGCCUAUGGGGUAUAUUUUCAAAACAAUACUAGAAAGAAUUAAUUUCCUAGCUCAUUAUCUUACUACUAGCUAUCUAUGUUUAUUCUUAUAUUUUGGCCAUGAAAAUGUGACCUCUACUAUUUUUUCUUUUUAUUGAUUUCUUGUUUGACAUCAUGUAGCCCCAUCCCACUCAUCCCCUCAUAUCCGACCUUUGCCCUUGCAACCUCCUCCAAAAUAAAUAACACACAAACAACACAAAAGAAAGAGAGAAAGAAAGAAAGAAAGAAAGAAAGGAGAAAAGAAGAGAAGAGAAGAGAAGAGAAGAAAAGAAAAGAAAAGAAAAGAAAAGAAAAGAAAAAUACAGAGGGAAGAUCUAAAAGGAAAAAAGCAAAAGGUAGAAAUAAGAUUGGUCUUGUCUGUUUGGUUUUUGUUAACAAAAUCUCUUUUGUUGUU